rnacentral:misc_RNA from 1 species
GUGGCGUCGAAUCGAUUUACUCUUCUUACCUGUGGAGUUCCUGUGGUAGGCCUGGCUGCUCAGUUCACUUGCACAACAAAUUGAAGAGAUGGAAAGUAUACUUUGUAAAUGAUGUCCUUGAGCUUUAAUGCCUGAAGCUUUUCAAUGAUUAGAGAAGAGCACAAAAUCUAGCUCGCUCAAUGUCGACCACACUUAAGCUAAGCUACAAAGUCUUAAUGAAAUUUUUGUUUUCCCCAGUAUUUCGUCAAUUUGAACGAGUCAUUGGCUUAAAAUCGUCGCAAUUCUGUACCUCAACUGUGCAGAGAAUGUCAGUUCAAGCCACAAUAACAGAUAAACUUACUAAGAAAUUCCAGCCACAACACAUGGAAGUUAUCAAUGAGAGCUAUAUGCACAAUGUUCCCAAAGGUUCUGAAACUCACUUCAAGGUUGUUGUCGUAUCAGCUUUGUUCCAAGACAAACCAUUGAUUCAGAGACACCGAAUGGUNAAUGAUGUUCUGAAGAAUGAACUAGAAUCUGGUGUACAUGCAUUGUCUAUUCAGGCUAAAACUCCUACACAGUGGGAAGCUAGUGGUCAUAAAGUUAACAUGUCACCACCAUGCCUGGGGGGUGCUGGCAGAUAGCACGUUUCUUCAACAUUUGCUGUUAUAACAACACUGCUCAGUCCAUGUCACCAGUCAGAGUCAUUAGAUUUUUGCAUAUUUUGUUGGCUAAGAAAUAGACCUAAUAGGAUAACAUGUUGCCAUGUACGUUAUUCAAAUCCUGUGGGAAAAACAACUUUACUUUGUUUCUACAAAUUCAUCUGUGAAAUGAAAAUACAAUGAACAAUGAAACUUACUCGCAGGUGGUUUGAAUUGCGUGGAAACGUUUAUAUCUGCAAUGCCUUAGCCAAUUAGGUCUAAUUGUUUUAGUAUAAACAUACUAAUCGGUCA